UAAAAUAAUGAAAAAAAGGAAUAUGAUGAAAACAAAGGAAAAAAAAAAGUGUCCAUCCUUUCACAUUUUUCUUCCUUGGCCGAAUGUUCUAAGAAGAAGGGGGGGAGAGCUUGAGAAAAUCAGCUAUGGUAGUUUGCUAGACUAAGCUCAAGAAGUUAAAGGAGGAGAAUCAAGCAAAGGCAAAGGAAAGGACAUCGAGUAGCCGAGUUAGAACCGUUUUACCCAACACAAGGUUCCUUUGAUUCAUUUUUGUGUGCUCGGGACCAUCGUCGAAGUCAUCACACCAGCUUGCAACUUUUUGGUAUCUUCUUCCUAGUUGGUCUAAGAGAACAUUUCGGCAUGUAUAGGCUAUUAUGUUUUGUUUGAACUUUGGUAUGUAAAACUUAGGAUAGCCAUGCUAAAAUGGCUUAUAUACGUUUUGAGCAUAAUGUU